UAACAUGAGUAUGAUUAUCAUGGUUUCCACCACAAUCUCUUUCCCUCUUAGGUUUUCAACUACGGCCAUGGAUGCUCCCAAGUUUAACUAUGACAAGGUGGAAACUGUUCGAAAGCAGUUGGAACAUUUGCAGAAGGAGAAUCAAAUGCUUAGACUAUUACUUGAAGCAAUGAGCGAAAAGUACAACAUACUUCAUAAAAUUUAUCUCCAACAAUCGAAUUUGAAGUCGGAUUCAUAUGAUGAAUACUCGAAUAAGGGGUUAAAUUGGCCUCCAAUUUCGACCGUAAUGAAGACUUCGCAUAUUUUUGUGAAAACAGAUCCUAAGGACAAUAGUCUUAUAGUUGGAGGAAAUACGGUCAGAAAGUUACUAAAAAUAACCCAUCACCUCGCGCUUAUUUCAAGUGUUCUCUGACUCCUGCAUGUCCAGUAAAAAGGAAGGUUCAACGAUGCGUGGAGGACAAAUCUUUUCUUAUGGUAACGUAUGAAGGACAGCAUAACCAUGAUGUUAAUCCUACUGUACGACACUCUUUAACUUCCUCAACUACCUUUCCUAUUCUUUUUGUUAACCAUCACUAAAAAUUAUCUUGGGAAUGUUAUGCAAAAUUAUGGCACAAGCAAUAACGUUGAUGACGACUGCGACGAUGACAACAACCAACAAUAAUGUGACUUUAGCCAUCAGUACCAGAACAAGCUAAACCAUCAAUCUCGUGAACAGAAAAAUGAAACUAAAAUGCUGGGGUGAUUUUAAUAUGUGAAAAGCAGGGGAACAAAUGAAUUGAUAAGGCAUCAUUUCAAGUUGUGGUUGAAUUAAUUUUUUUCAAUUUUUUGUAUUUUAUUUUAAGCUCAUAAAAUUAAAUGAUUUAAAAUAACUUUUCAAUUACCCAACUUUUAAAAAUUAUGUAAUAGUCACUAAUGUUAACGAAUUGUUAUAUUUUGAUCA